UUCAGACUAGAGAAGCACAUUUCUAGGGAAGGCUGCCACCCUCAAAACCUGAGCUCUCCAAAGUACCUACUGGUUAGCUUCUAUGGUCGAAUAACAGAAAGUGGGGGAGAACUGGCUGAGCAGCCAAGAUGUCUAGGGGAGGGGAGAAAACACCACUCAGCGAGUACAUUCAGCUCUGAGCCUAGUCUCACCAAUUUCAUUUCUUGCUUAGAUGAAGUUGUUUGGAGGGAGAGAACUGAACACGAGUCAGUGGAGAGAUACAACCCGGGGGCUUCUCUCCAGGAGGCUGGGGUUAGCCUACCCUGAUUUUCCUUCCAUAAUCUUUUGAUUAAACUGGGUCAGUUUGAGUGACAGUUUUCAAGCCUCCUGUGUUUAGCAAGUCAAGCCAAGCCCAGGCGUGUUUCUCAGGAUCUGCACCUAUCAUCUUGGGACUAAAGGUCACUCAGAGCUGGGGAUGUCUCUAAGCUCUGAGGCAUAUUGGAUUUGCAGAGAUUCACGAACUGGCACUGGUAAAUUCUGCCCACAACUCCCAGGAACUGAACUGGUGGCCUGCCAUCCCAAAUGUGACAAAAAUAAGAGGGAUAGUGAUUGCCAUCUUCCGCUGAGUGUUGUGGCUUUUAGGAGGAACUCUAUACUUAUCCCAGUUCCCGUCGGGAGUUUUCUGCUCAUAUCCCCAAGGCUCAAGGCCCUUGAAGCACUUGCCAGAGUCACGUAGAAGAUCACAACAGUGAUUUUUUUUUUUUAGAGGAACAAUCCCCCCAAUCAAGCUUCUCAGCAGAGUCACCUCCUAUUGUCUCCAUUAAACUGUGCCUCCAUUAAAAUUAACAGGCUGAAGUCCUAACCUCCAAUGUGGUUAUAUUUGGAGACAGGACCUUGAAUGAGGUAGUUUAAUGAGGUCAUUUGGGCGGGGCCCUGAUCCCUCAAGACUGCUGUCCUUAUCAAAAGAGGAAGACACAGUAGGGACCUGAUGAAGUGCCCACCUACAAGCUGGGGAGAGAGACCUCACCACACACCAACUCCUCCAGCUUGACCUUGACCUUUGCCCUCCAAAACUGGAAAAAUGUCGAUUUGUUAUUGAAGGCAUUUCUGAUUGGUGAUAUUCUGUUAAGGUGGUUCAAGCAGAUUAAAUGCCUUUUUCUUAUAUUCUUUAUUGUGAUAAAUAUCCAUAAAAUUACAUUUAAUAAGCCACUUUGCAGUGUACAGUUCAGUAAAAUUACAUUUAAUAAGCCACUUUGCAGUGUACAAUUCAGUGGCUUGGGGUACAUUCAUGCUGACACCACCACUAAUGCCCAAAACGUUUUUCAUUUUUGUAACACAACUCCCAUUCUCCCUAGCCCCAGCCAUCACCAUUCUACUGUCUGUCUUAGGAUUCUUGUCUAUGCUAAGUACUUUGUGUAAGCAGACUAGUAUUCUUUUGUAUCUGACUUGGUACACUUAACAGGUUUUCAGGAUCCGUUCAUGAAAACAUGUGGCCUGGGUUUGCAUGUCAUUCCUUUUGAAGUAAUGGAGUAUUGUUUCACUGUGUGGCUGGGUCAGAAUGGGCUUAUCCGCUCAUUAGUCAGUUCACCAUUCUGGUAUUUAAAAAUACAAAGCAGAGACUGCCUCCAAUGGAUUCUCGACAAACCUUUGAAAGGUUUAUUUAUUUUAUUUUGCAUAUGCAUAUGAACACCUGGAUAUAUGUAGGCACACCCCAUGUGUGAAGGUACCAAAGUAAGACAGAGAGGGCACUGGGUUCCCCCUGGAACUAGAGUUACAGGUGACUGUAAGCCUUGUGAUGUGGGUGCUUGGGACAGAACCCAGUCCUCUGUAAGAGCAGCAAUCACUCCUGACUCCUAAGCCAUCUUCUCCAGCCCCCAGUUUGUGACAUCAUUUGAGUGGAAGGCAGACUUCUUGCAAUGGUGAUUUGUUCUGUAGACCCUGAGUGAUGCACUCUAGAAACUAAGCCAUACCGCUCCUGCUGGAGUAUCAACCAACUUCUUCAGCCCCAGGGACCCCAUAAUGACUGCUCUCCUGGCUGGGCUCUGGCCUUUCCAGAAACCCUCCCCCAUGCUUCUUUAGUCCUCUGCUGCCUCCCAUCAUGCAAUGUGGCCUCAUUUGCCUGCACAGAGCAUCUAAAUACAUUUCAAAACUAGGUAUUAAAACUAUAUGCGCUUAUGGUAUAGAGUAAUAUCUUGAUGUUGGGUUGUGUUUUCAUAGUGAAGUGGUUGCUACAAUCAAGCUAAUUACCAUGUUUUUCUCACUGCACCAUCACCUUUGUGUGUUCAGGACAUCAAAUCUCUUCCGUAGGAUACAAGACAAUGUGACUCCCCAUACUCUAUACUACUAAGUAGAUUUCCAGAACUUGCCCAUUCCCGCAAUCCACAAUGCUCCCUUGACUUGCAUUUCCCUACCAUCCAUGCUUAUCCACCAGGGUCCAGUUCUGUAGGGUAAAGACUGUGUGGUGACCAGCACUGUUUCCCCUGCACUCGGUCCAACAUAGCAGGUCCUGAGUGGAAGCUGAGAUUGUCCAGACAGUUUAGAAGCCCAAGGCACUGAGGAUGCUACCCAGCCAGCAGGUGUUUCUGCUGUCAGCAAAGCUGACCCUGGAGUCUAUACCCCCAAAUCUACCAUCCAUUCCCUGCAGGUUCUGCCCACCGUACUGUUUAAAGGCUCCAGUCUCAUUUCCUUGCCUUCCCAUGUCCAUGGGAGGAAGAAGAGAGGAGUCAUGGAGACACCAUGGAGUCGCCACCAUAGAUAGGCAUGCAGAAACUUUGCUGGUAGGCUACAACCUCGUGGUGAUGCACACAUUAAUGGAGAUAGGUUAAAUUAGUAUGUAAGAGUUAGCCAAUAAGAAGCUAGAGCUAGGGACCAAGCAGUGUUUUAAUUAAUAAAGUUUCAUGUGGUUAUUUUGGUUCUGGGCAGCAGGGAUGAAUGAGCAGCCCCCUCCUCCAACACAUCUUCCCAACCACUCCCCUGUUGGCAAAACUGCCUGCCCUCUGGCUUUUAAGCCCAUCAAUCUGAGAGCCAUCUCUUCCUUAGUUACUGUAGCUGGGGGCAGUUUGAUUGACUUCACUAUGAAAAGAGGCAGACUCUGAACCAGGGGUGGAAUGACAUGAUCUCCACUCUGCUCUCUGCUCCAUUUGGGUGAGAAGAUCAUCUCUGGAGAUAUGAAGUCAUGUGCAAAUGUUUAUGGAAGCUACAGGCACAGAAUGUUCCCUGCCCAGGUUUCCCUUUCAUCCACUGAAUAUCCAGGACCUUCUGAAAGCAUGACCUUGGAAUUCACUAGACUCCAGAUCAAAUACCACCGUCUUUAUUACACAAUAUUUGUAUUACACCAUUUGUAAUGCACAGCUUUUAUUACAUGAGGAUGUCUCAGGAACUCACUCCUCUGUUCUGUCAUCUAUACAAUGGGUACAGAGAGGCCCAUUCUGAAAGCCGGCUGAAGAAAUGUACAAAAGUAUGGAGUGCAAGGCUUGUGCCUUACUAGGGUUCAUAAUGACACUGUGUUCUUGCUUUUAUAUCUUGUUGCUGUUUGUAAGAACUAAGUUUCAUGUUGUUGUAUUACUGUCAAAUCAGGGGUUCCCUGGUCCUGGAAAAAUGACUGAUUCACCAAAAUGACAUAUGUGGGCCAGAAAUUGAUCAGAGAUUUGUCCACCGUUCGCUUUGCCUUCCCUUCCUCUACAUGGAAGCAGAGUCUCGUCCUUGGAGGGUAGAGCGGGAGAGCUAACGGUUGGUCCAAUCAGAGUGACGUUAGCAUCCAGCACCAUCCCUGUCUCCUGCACAGCCUUUAGCUAGCCUUCUUUCACUCUUUCAGCAGAGGAAGGGAACGAAGAGUAAAGCCCCCACUUGGCAUCAUCCUCCUGGGGCUCAGAGAAGCAGGUGGAAGAGUUCUGAGAGGUAAUGCUAGGUCAGUCACCUGUGGCUGGGCUAAUGUUCCCCUGGGGACUCUUUCUGCAGGAAAUAGGGAAAUCAGCCUCAACUCGUAGUAUCCUGGGCAGGGACACUCUGACAGAACAGUCUCUCUUUGCACACUGAAGGCUGGACCUGGAAGAGUGUCUGUUACUCCCUAUGGGCUUCUGCCUCCCAGGGCAGCAGGAUAUAUGUGAGACAUUGUCCCCAUGAUGAUUAUAUCUUAGACUUCAAAGCAUAACUGUCACUUGCCUCUGAGAGCCUGAACUGGCCAUGAGAGUGAGGGCAAAGCCGUAGCUGCACAGUCAAGGAGAGUUCUGCUAUCAGCCUCCUAGGUAGAGGUGAAGAAACCGAGGACACAAUGGGCAAGAUCCUGGAGCUCUGUACCCUCAAAGCAGGGCCUCUGCACGGUGGCAGAGACACAGGGACAGUGUACUCUGACUCCUCCCAAAGAUGGGAGCUCUCCAGUAGAUGGCUCUUCACACCUCAGGCUCAGCAGAACUCCUCCCUCUUCAGCAUCACCCUGUGAGCUCCCAAGUCCCAUUUUCCUGGGCUCUUUUCUCCAGGCCUACAUGUGACUCACUGAUUGAACUCAAAGCUUGUGUCAUGCCUUAGUUAUCUAAGAAUGCUCAGCAUUAAGCACAAGGUCCGGCACAGGGGUGCUCAAAGGGCAAGGAGAAGGAGGAAGAAAGAGGAGGAGGGAGAAAACAGGAAAAAGGAGAAAGGCAUUAAUUACCUCCUUCUACUUGAGUGACUGCCUGUAACCUCCACUGAACCCUUAGAAAGCCAUAGCCAAUAUUUCUCUCUUCCAACUUCACUGUUUUUCUUAGAUGUUCCUGACUGGAACUGUGAAUCAUCUUCUGUCCGUGACUUCAGUGUUAUUCCCAGAAUUACCCCUGAACUCCAGCCCUUAUCACUUCUUCCCCGUGUCUCUCCUCCCACACUGCAGCCAGACAGGAGACUGCCCAUCCAACCCUAAUAAAGAAAUCUCUUCUAGGCUUACGGACGACGUGUGUACUGCACAUAGCCUCUCAUUCACAAGUGUCUGCCAUGGAAUUAUCGCAGUGUUUACUAAAGUGAUAGUUGGAAACCAGGAGGUAGUGGCACGUGCCUUUAAUUCCAGCAACUGGGAGGCAGAGGCAGAGACAGGUGGAUCUCUGUGAGUUUGAAGCCAGCGUGGUCUACAGAGCAAGUUCCAGGACAAACUCAAAAAGCUACAGAGGAACCCUGUCUCAAACACUCCCCCCCCCCAUAAAAAAAAAAGUUGGAGAUGAUGAUCUAAACGUCAGUAAAAUAAAUAGAAGCAAAGUACAUACAUUUUCUUCAUCUACUGAUAGAACCUCUGAACAUUUACUGUGACUACACAGUACUUGGAAACGCUGGGUGAAGAGCUACAGCUAAGACUUCAAGGGCUGUAUUGAAUAAGAGAGAAGAAAGUGGAUGAUCCUGUCACAGUCUUGAUUUUGCGGAAAUGCUCUGAGGCUUUUCACAUUUAGUAUGAUGCUGGAUGUAUGUCCAUCACAUCAUAUAGCCUUCACUGUGUUGAGCAUAUUCUAUGAUGCAGUACAUCUAUUGAUCUGAAUACAUCGAAGCAAUCCUUGAUCCCCAAAAUAAAUGGAAUGUGAACAUGGUAAAUAAAUAAUCUUUUGAUGUAUCAUUGAAUUUGAUUCAUAAGAAUCUUAUUAAUAGAUUUUACUCCCAUGUUCUUCAGGUAGAUCUGUUAAUAAUUUUCCUUUUUGUUAUUUACAUAUUCAUAUGGUUAUCAGAAUAAUUGUGAUUUUUGUAAUAUGAACUUGGUGGCGUUCCCUACCAUUCUGUUUUGGGGAAUAGUUUGAAAAUAUUGGUGCUAAUUUUUUUUUAAAAGUUCUGUAGAGCUGUGAAAUGCCCCCCACCCCUCUAGGCUUGGGUUUUUUUUCCAGUUGGGAGACUAUUUUAUCACUGAUUAAAACUUGCAACUUGCUCUAAAUCUGUUGAAGGACUUUAGGUCCUCUUGGCUGGUAUUGGUGGGUUAAUCUAGAAAUGUGCUCAUUUCUUUUAGGUCUCCAGUGUUUUGGAAGAUAGAUUUCCAGAGUAGACUAAUGGGGCUCUAAGCAGCACUGGUAUUUGUUAUAACGUCACUCUCUUCCAUCUCUUUAAUUAAUUUGGGUCUCUCUCUAUUUUGGUUGGUUUAACUUGCUUAUUUGUUGAAGAACAAACUCUUUGUUUCAUGGGGUUUGUGCUGUUGUUCUCAUUUCCACUUCGUUCAUUUCUGGACCAGUGUUUCUGCCGUCUUUCCAUAUGCGUGCUUGGAGGGUUGAGCUCUUGGUCCUCUCGGAUGCUGGGAUGCGUCAUCGAGUUACUUAUCUGAGGUCUUUCUGAUUUUUUUAAAAAUUACAGCUAUAAAUUUUAUCUCAUAGGACUGUUUUCAUUGUAUCUCAUGGGUUUUGGUAUAUUACGUUUUCAUCUUCAUUUGAUUUUAAAAGCUUUGUGUUUUCUUUCCUUAUUUCUUUAACGAUCCAUUAAUUAAUUUUAAAUAGCAUCUUUUUAAGCCUCCACAGGUUGAAUAUUUUCUGUAGUUUCUCUUCCAGUUGAUUUCUUGUCUUGUUCCAUUUUGAUCAGAUAAAAUGCACAAAGUUAUUUUAACCUUCUUCUAUCUGUUAGGAAAUUCUAUGUGUCCUAAAAUAAGGUCCAUUUUAGAGAAAAUUCUGUGGGCUGCAGGAAAUAUUGUAUAUUAUGUAAUAUUUGGGUGUAAUAUUUUGUAAGUGUCUGUUAAAUUCAUUUAAUCUGUGAUGCCAUUUAACUCUGGUAGUGUUUUGUUUGUUUGUUUGUUUUCUGUCUGACCUGUCUACUCGUCAGAGUGGUUAUGGUCACCCAUAAAUAUUCUGUGGAGAUCAACCUGGGUCUUUACAACUGGUAGUGUUUGUUUUAUAAA